GGAUAGGUGGCCGAGUGGCUGAAGGCACGCGCCUGGAGAGCGCGUAAACGGGUAACCGUUUCGUGGGUUCGAAUCCCACCCUAUCCG
rfam:Gemmatimonadetes bacterium 13_2_20CM_2_69_23 13_2_20cm_2_scaffold_2227, whole genome shotgun sequence.